UGAGUACGAGAUGCUACGGCAUCGAAGCAGUCUAUGUCAUACUUCCAAGAAAAGCUUGCACUGUCAUAAACAAAGAAUGCCUGUACCAUAACCGACACAGGUGGGUAGGUAGAGUAUACUAAGGGGCGCGAGAUAACUCUCUCUAAGGAACUCGGCAAAAUGACUCCGUAACUUCGGGAGAAGGAGUGCCUUAUUUCUAAGGUUGCAAUAACAAGAUCCAAGCAACUGUUUACCAAAAACACAGGUCUCCGCUAAGUCGUAAGACGAUGUAUGGGGGCUGACGCCUGCCCAGUGCCAGAAGGUUAAAGAAGUUGGUUAGCAUUAGCGAAGCUGAUAACUGAAGCCCUGGUGAACGGCGGCCGUAACAAUAACGGUCCUAAGGUAGCGAAAUUCCUUGUCGGGUAAGUUCCGACCCGCACGAAAGGCGUAAUGAUUUGGAUACUGUCUCGGAGAGGGGCUCGGUGAAAUAGACUUGUCUGUGAAGAUGCGGACUACCUGCACCUGGACAGAAAGACCCUAUGAAGCUUUACUGUAACUUGAGAUUGAAAUUGGACUUUAUUUGCGCAGUAUAGGUGGGAGGCGUUGAGAAUAAUCUUGCGGGAUUGUUGGAGCCAUCAGUGAGAUACCACUCUUGUAAUGUUAGAUUUCUAACUUUGUAUCAUUAUCUGGUCAAAGAACAGUUUCAGGCGGGCAGUUUUGACUGGGGCGGUCGCCUCCCAAAGGGUAACGGAGGCGCACAAAGGUUUCCUCUGAACGGGUAGAAAUCGUAUCUAGAGUGUAAAGGCAUAAGGAAGCUUGACUGUGAGACCUACAAGUCGAGCAGGGACGAAAGUCGGUCUUAGUGAUCUGACGGUGCUGAGUGGAAAGGCCGUCACUCAACGGAUAAAAGUUACUCUAGGAUAACAGGCUGAUCUCCCCCAAGAGUUCACAUCGACGGGGAGGUUUGGCACCUCGAUGUCGGCUCAUCGCAUCCUGGGGCGGUAGUCCGUCCCAAGGGUUGGGCUGUUCGCCCAUGAAAGCGGUACGCGAGCUGGGUUCAGAACGUCGUGAGACAGUUCGGUCCAUAUCCGGUGUAGGCGUUAGAAUAUUGAGAGGAGCCUUCUCUAGUACGAGAGGACCGAGAAGGACAUACCUCUGGUGUACCAGUUAUCGUGCCAACGGUAAACGCUGGGUAGCUAUGUAUGGAGUGGAUAACCGCUGAAAGCAUCUAAGUGGGAAGCCCACCUCAAGAUAAGUAUUCUC
rnacentral:rRNA from 1 species